GGUUGAGGUUCAGUUGGUAGAGUGCUUGCCUAGCAUGUGUGAGGCACUGGGUUUGAUUCUCAGAACCA
rnacentral:tRNA from 1 species